CCUACGGGAGGCAGCAGUGGGGAAUAUUGGGCAAUGGACGAAAGUCUGACCCAGCAACGCCGCGUGCAGGAAGAAGGCUUUCGGGUUGUAAACUUCUGUUAAGGGGGAAGAGGAGAAGCCGGUACCCCUUGAAUAAGCCACGGCUAACUACGUCCCAGCAGCCGCGGUAAUACGUAGGUGGCAAGCGUUGUCCGGAUUUACUGGGUGGAAAGGUCGUGCAGCCGGGCUGACAAGUCAGUUGUGAAAUCCGUGGGGUUAACCCGCGAACUGCAUUGGACACUAGUGAUCUUGAGUGCGGGAGAGGUAAUCGGAAUUCCAUGGGAAGCGGUGAAAUGCGUAGAUAUAAGGAAGAACACCAGAGGCGAAGGCGGAUUACUGGACGGUAACUGACGGUGAGGGGCGAAAGCGUGGGGAGCAAACAGGAUUAGAUACCCUUGUAGUC
rnacentral:rRNA from 1 species